rnacentral:rRNA from 1 species
UAGGGAAUAUUGGGCAAUGGGCGAGAGCCUGACCCAGCCAUGCCGCGUGCAGGAAGAAGGCUUUCUGAGUCGUAAACUGCUUUUGACAGGGAAGAAUAAGCGCUACGUGUAGCGUGAUGACGGUACCUGCAGAAUAAGCACCGGCUAACUCCGUGCCAGCAGCCGCGGUAAUACGGAGGGUGCGAGCGUUGUCCGGAUUUAUUGGGUUUAAAGGGUGCGUAGGCGGCCCGUUAAGUCCGGGGUGAAAGCCCGUUGCUCAACAACGGAACUGCCCUGGAUACUGACGGGCUUGAGUACAGACGAGGUUGGCGGAAUGGACCGAGUAACGGUGAAAUGCAUAGAUACGGUCCAGAACCCCGAUUGCGAAGGCAGCUGACUAGGCUGUUACUGACGCUGAGGCACGACAGCGUGGGGAGCGAACAGG